UACGUAGGUGGCAAGCGUGUCCGGAAUUAUUGGGCGUAAAGCGCGCGCAGGUGGUUCCUUAAGUCUGAUGUGAAAGCCCACGGCUCAACCGUGGAGGGUCAUUGGAAACUGGGGAACUUGAGUGCAGAAGAGGAAAGUGGAAUUCCAAGUGUAGCGGUGAAAUGCGUAGAGAUUUGGAGGAACACCAGUGGCGAAGGCGAACUUUCUGGUCUGUAACUGACACUGAGGCGCGAAAGCGUGGGGAGCAAACAGGG
rnacentral:rRNA from 1 species